GAUGAACGCUGGCGGCGUGCCUAAUACAUGCAAGUCGAGCGAACAGACGAGGAGCUUGCUCCUCUGACGUUAGCGGCGGACGGGUGAGUAACACGUGGAUAACCUACCUAUAAGACUGGGAUAACUUCGGGAAACCGGAGCUAAUACCGGAUAAUAUAUUGAACCGCAUGGUUCAAUAGUGAAAGACGGUUUUGCUGUCACUUAUAGAUGGAUCCGCGCCGCAUUAGCUAGUUGGUAAGGUAACGGCUUACCAAGGCAACGAUGCUUACCCGACCUGAGAGGGUGAUCGGCCACACUGGACCUGAGACACGGUCCAGACUCCUACGGGAGGCAGCAGUAGCGGAUCUUCCGCAAUGGGCGGAAGCUUGGCGGAGCAACGCCGCGUGAGUGAUGAAGGUCUUCGGAUCGUAAAACUCUGUUAUUAGGGAAGAACAAAUGUGUAAGUAACUAUGCACGUCUUGACGGUACCUAAUCAGAAAGCCACGGCUAACUACGUG
rnacentral:rRNA from 1 species